rnacentral:rRNA from 1 species
UACGAAGGGGGCUAGCGUUGCUCGGAAUCACUGGGCGUAAAGGGCGCGUAGGCGGCCAUUCAAGUCAGAGGUGAAAGCCCAAGGCUCAACCUUGGAACUGCCUUUGAUACUGUUUGGCUUGAGACCGGUAGAGGUAAGUGGAACUGCGAGUGUAGAGGUGAAAUUCGUAGAUAUUCGCAAGAACACCAACGGCGAAGGCAGCUCGCUAGGACGGUACUGACGCUGAGACGCGAAAGCGUGGGGAGCGAACAGG